UGGGGGAAUAUUGCACAAUGGGCGAAAGCCUGAUGCAGCAACGCCGCGUGAGUGAUGAAGGCCUUCGGGUUGUAAAGCUCUGUCUUUUGGGACGAUAAUGACGGUACCAAAGGAGGAAGCCACGGCUAACUACGUGCCAGCAGCCGCGGUAAUACGUAGGUGGCAAGCGUUGUCCGGAUUUACUGGGCGUAAAGGAUGCGUAGGCGGAUUUUAAGUGAGAUGUGAAAUACCCGGGCUUAACUUGGGUGCUGCAUUUCAAACUGGGAAUCUAGAGUGCGGGAGAGGAGAAUGGAAUUCCAGUGUAGCGGUGAAAUGCGUAGAGAUUAGGAAGAACACCAGUGGCGAAAGGCGAUUCUCUGGACCGUAACUGACGCUGAGGCAUGAAAGCGUGGGUAGCAAACAGGAUUAGAUACCCUGGUAGUCCAC
rnacentral:rRNA from 1 species